CUCCGGUUGAUCCUGCCGGACCCGACUGCUAUCAGAGUGGGACUAAGCCAUGCGAGUCAACGUAGCAAUACGUGGCAUACGGCUCAGUAACACGUAGUCAACAUGCCCAGGGGACGAGGAUAACCUCGGGAAACUGAGGAUAAACCUCGAUAGGCCAUGAUUUCUGGAAUGAUUCUUGGCUCAAACCUAUAUGGCCCCUGGAUUGGACUGCGGCCGAUCAGGCUGUUGGUGAGGUAAUGGCCCACCAAACCUAUUACCGGUACGGGCUCUGAGAGGAGGAGCCCGGAGAUGGGCACUGAGACAAGGGCCCAGGCCCUAUGGGGCGCAGCAGGCGCGAAACCUCUGCAAUAGGCGAAAGCCUGACAGGGUUACUCUGAGUGAUUUCCGUUAAGGAGAUCUUUUGGCACCUCUAAAAAUGGUGCAGAAUAAGGGGUGGGCAAGUCUGGUGUCAGCCGCCGCGGUAAUACCAGCACCCCGAGUGGUCGGGACGUUUAUUGGGCCUAAAGCAUCCGUAGCCGGUUCUACAAGUCUUCCGUUAAAUCCACCUGCUUAACAGAUGGGCUGCGGAAGAUACUAUAGAGCUAGGAGGCGGGAGAGGCAAGCGGUACUCGAUGGGUAGGGGUAAAAUCCGUUGAUCCAUUGAAGACCACCAGUGGCGAAGGCGGCUUGCCAGAACGCGCUCGACGGUGAGGGAUGAAAGCUGGGGGAGCAAACCGGAUUAGAUACCCGGGUAGUCCCAGCUGUAAACGAUGCAGACUCGGUGAUGAGUUGGCUUAUUGCUAACUCAGUGCCGCAGGGAAGCCGUUAAGUUUGCCGCCUGGGGAGUACGGUCGCAAGACUGAAACUUAAAGGAAUUGCCGGGGGAGCA
rnacentral:rRNA from 1 species